GAGGAGUUAGAUCCAGAAGGAGAUGAGCCAUGGGAUGCAGAACCACAGAAGCAAGUAAAGAGCCUGCAUAUUUUGCCCUGCAGUUUAACCAUUCACUCCUUGACCAAGUUCCACAAAGUGCUGGACAAUGGACUCACAGCCCAAUACACACUAGCCUCCCGAAGACUUUAACAACUACAGAAAUGAACAAUGCCUAUCCAGUGCCCUGGACUGGGCUAGUAUCAGCAGGCUUUGAGGCCCUCCCAGAUGAUCCUGUCGUGCUUGGCCUACUGGGAGAUCAUCCCAACCCAGAUGAGGUCAACUGGGACACCUGUGAGAACAUUGGAACAGAAAUCUUUGCCUUCCCACAUCCAUUUUUCUGGGAUGUUUUCUAAAGUAUCAUUGUUGUUGUUGGAGAAAUAUAUCAAUAUUAUAUUGGUGUCUGACAGGAGAGGGGCGUCAAUCAAUCAUAAUCUUCCUGCCUACCCGUGUCUCACAAAACAUGCUCUUUAUCCAUUUUGAAAUCUGCCAAAUAGGUCUCAGUGUGGGAACUGGUCCUUGCUGAAGAUUAUGAGCAGUUAUGACUUGCCACAUCUCUAUUGAGUAAGAUAGAAGAAAUAAAGAUAAGUAGAAAGGAGGCAAAGAAAAAUGUAACUUAAAAAUUUUACAGCAUGAGCACAGUGGCACAUACCUGUAAUCCCAGCACUUAGGAGGCUGAGGCAAGAGGAUUGCAAUGAGUUCGAGGCCUGCCUGGGCUACAUAGUGAGUUCAAGACAAGCCUGAACUACAUAGCAAGACUCUGUCUCAAAAAAACAAAAUUAAAACUAAAACAAAAAAUAUUCUAAUACAAUAGUACGGCAACCUCAGGACAGAAUCAGUUACCUAAGGUUAUCCGUAUCUGUAGUUCAUGCCUUUACUCCAUGGGCUUGUUUAUACUUUUUUUUCCAGGCCCAUCACACCCAAAAUCCCUUAAGCAUAUUACAAAGCCAUAAAUUAGCUUAACUGUUAAACUAAAGGGCAGAAAACUAACCUUUAAGAUAGAGAAACAGAUUCAAUGAUUUCAAAAAAUGUUUUUGAGGAUAGCAGAUCAUCUGUUUUUUAAAAAUAAAAUAGACUUUUCUGUGCCUUUCACCUGUAAAUCGACCCUGAGAUUUCUAUAGAUUCACAAAUUCCACAGAUUUCCACCCUCAAAACACAAAAAUAUUGCCUAUAUUUUGCUUCUCUCUUGAGGGCCCAUAGGGCCCACAUUGGCACCCACACUGUUUUCUUUGAGUGGAUAUGUGAAGUUCUGCUGAAUAAACUUUAUGACUCUCACUAAUGUGCCCUGGAAUUUUUUCGGUGUCAAGAGUCAAGAAUCUGGGUGCAGGGAUGUAGCUCAGUGGCGCCGCGCCUGCCUGGCAAGCCCAAGGUCCUAAGUUUGAUCCCCAGUACCCGAAAAAGAAAAGGAGUCAAGAAUCUGCUUGGCAGUCUGUGUUGAGUCUACCAUUGCCUCUUUGGAAAAGCAACUCAGACCCUGUCCAGUGACUCUCUCACCAGCAAUGGCUAGUUUCUUCAGGAUGGCAGCCAUCACUUACAAAUGUGCCCUAUGUCAGGUAAAAGGGCCAAAGACCAAGACCAGACCAGGACACAACAAGCCUUUAUUAGGGGAGUAGAUCUGCCAGGCUGUCUCUGAACAAAGGAGAGACAAAAGCAAUAUGGCCAGGGCAGGGAGAGUCUUUUAUAGAGACUGGGGUGGGG
rnacentral:lncRNA from 1 species